UCUUAUGGAGAGUUUGAUCCUGGCUCAGGACGAACGCUGGCGGCAUGCCUAAUACAUGCAAGUCGAGCGAACAGUUAGAAGCUUGCUUCUAACUGUUAGCGGCGGACG
rnacentral:rRNA from 1 species